UACGGAGGAUCCAAGCGUUAUCCGGAUUUAUUGGGUUUAAAGGGUGCGCAGGCGGGCAUAUAAGUCAGUGGUGAAAUCUCCCGGCUCAACUGGGAAACUGCCAUUGAUACUGUAUGUCUAGAGUGCAGAUGAGGUAGGCGGAAUGUGUCAUGUAGCGGUGAAAUGCUUAGAUAUGACACAGAACACCGAUUGCGAAGGCAGCUUACCAAACUGUUACUGACGCUCAUGCACGAAAGCGUGGGGAGCGAACAGG
rnacentral:rRNA from 1 species